rnacentral:rRNA from 1 species
CUAGUGAUGUAUGAGUUAGUGGCGGACGGGUGAGUAACGCGUGGAGAACCUGCCGUAUACUGGGGGAUAACACUUAGAAAUAGGUGCUAAUACCGCAUAAGCGCACAGCUUCGCAUGAAGCAGUGUGAAAAACUCCGGUGGUAUACGAUGGAUCCGCGUCUGAUUAGCUGGUUGGCGGGGUAACAGCCCACCAAGGCGACGAUCAGUAGCCGGCCUGAGAGGGUGAACGGCCACAUUGGGACUGAGACACGGCCCAAACUCCUACGGGAGGCAGCAGUGGGGAAUAUUGCACAAUGGGGGAAACCCUGAUGCAGCCACGCCGCGUGAGUGAAUAAGUAUUUCGGUAUGUAAAGCUCUAUCAGCAGGGAAGAAAUACUGACCUUACGGUCAGCAGACGGUACCUGACUAAGAAGCCCCGGCUAAC